AGAGUUUGAUCCUGGCUCAGGAUGAACGCUGGCGGCGUGCCUAAUACAUGCAAGUCGAGCGAACGGACGAGAAGCUUGCUUCUCUGAUGUUAGCGGCGGACGGGUGAGUAACACGUGGAUAACCUACCUAUAAGACUGGGAUAACUUCGGGAAACCGGAGCUAAUACCGGAUAAUAUUUUGAACCGCAUGGUUCAAAAGUAAAAGACGGUCUUGCUGUCACUUAUAGAUGGAUCCGCGCUGCAUUAGCUAGUUGGUAAGGUAACGGCUUACCAAGGCAACGAUGCAUAGCCGACCUGAGAGGGUGAUCGGCCACACUGGAACUGAGACACGGUCCAGACUCCUACGGGAGGCAGCAGUAGGGAAUCUUCCGCAAUGGGCGAAAGCCUGACGGAGCAACGCCGCGUGAGUGAUGAAGGUCUUCGGAUCGUAAAACUCUGUUAUUAGGGAAGAACAUAUGUGUAAGUAACUGUGCACAUCUUGACGGUACCUAAUCAGAAAGCCACGGCUAACUACGUGCCAGCAGCCGCGGUAAUACGUAGGUGGCAAGCGUUAUCCGGAAUUAUUGGGCGUAAAGCGCGCGUAGGCGGUUUUUUAAGUCUGAUGUGAAAGCCCACGGCUCAACCGUGGAGGGUCAUUGGAAACUGGAAAACUUGAGUGCAGAAGAGGAAAGUGGAAUUCCAUGUGUAGCGGUGAAAUGCGCAGAGAUAUGGAGGAACACCAGUGGCGAAGGCGACUUUCUGGUCUGUAACUGACGCUGAUGUGCGAAAGCGUGGGGAUCAAACAGGAUUAGAUACCCUGGUAGUCCACGCCGUAAACGAUGAGUGCUAAGUGUUAGGGGGUUUCCGCCCCUUAGUGCUGCAGCUAACGCAUUAAGCACUCCGCCUGGGGAGUACGACCGCAAGGUUGAAACUCAAAGGAAUUGACGGGGACCCGCACAAGCGGUGGAGCAUGUGGUUUAAUUCGAAGCAACGCGAAGAACCUUACCAAAUCUUGACAUCCUUUGACAACUCUAGAGAUAGAG
rnacentral:rRNA from 1 species